rnacentral:rRNA from 1 species
UGGGGAAUCUUCCGCAAUGGGCGAAAGCCUGACGGAGCAACGCCGCGUGGGUGAAGAAGGCCUUCGGGUUGUAAAGCCCUGUCUUAUGGGAAGAAGAAAGUGACGGUACCAUAGGAGGAAGCCACGGCUAACUACGUGCCAGCAGCCGCGGUAAUACGUAGGUGGCGAGCGUUGUCCGGAAUUACUGGGCGUAAAGGGCGCGUAGGCGGUCAUUUAAGUCGGGUGUGAAAUCUUGGGGCUUAACCUCAAGUUUGCAAACGAUACUGGGUGGCUUGAGUGCAGGAGAGGGCAGUGGAAUUCCUAGUGUAGCGGUGAAAUGCGUAGAUAUUAGGAGGAACACCAGUGGCGAAGGCGGCUGCCUGGACUGUAACUGACGCUGAGGCGCGAAAGCGUGGGGAGCAAACAGG